GACCACAUCAGCGGCUUAAGUGGUUAGAGCGUCCAACUUGGAUUCGGCUUGUCGUGGGUUCGAACCCCGGCUGAGUCA